rnacentral:tRNA from 1 species
CAGAGUGUAGCUAAGCAGCCCAGCGCCCCUCUUACACCGUGAAGAUAUCCGUGCAAAUCGGAUCACUCUGA